AUAACUCAGAACAGGCUGCCAGCUGUGUUUCCUCAGCUGCAGUGCAAGUGGGGCAUGCUCCGUUGAGACUUUAUUCACUCUGGGCAGUUUGUUGAAGAUUAGGUGGUCAGCUCACAAUGAAUCAUAAGCUGCUUUUGUCCCUUGCUGUCUAUGCUUAGAAGCUAAAAGGUUAAGCAGCGAUGUCAGCGCUAUCAGGGAGCUGUGGAGACUGGAAUUGAAGUUCAGAACCUUUCAUGGGAGACAGCUCAGCUCCGCAGUAGCUUUGAAAACAAGCAGCCCACAAUCAUGCUGACAGCCAGAAGUCUGGCAGACACUGGGAUUGAAAUAUAAUGUUGGAUAUUCUACAAAGCCUCAUUUCCAGAAAAUUGUGAUUAUUUAAACUGUCUCUCAAUUCCUGGAAAACUCCACUUACAAG
rnacentral:lncRNA from 10 species